rnacentral:snRNA from 1 species
GGAUGUGAGGGCGAUCUGGCUGUGACAUCUGUCACCCCAUUGAUCGCCAGGGUUGAUUCGGCUGAUCUGGCUGGCUAGGCGGGUGUCCCCCUCCUCCCUCACCGAUCCAUGUGCGUCCCUCCCGAAGCUGCGCGCUCGGUCGAAGAGGACGACCGAGGCCCCCCCCCCCCCCCCCCCCCCAGGAGAGGACCGGUCUUCGGUCAAGGGUAUACGAGUAGCUGCGCUCCCCUGCUAGAACCUCCAAACAAGCUCUCAAGAAGCAGGUCUGAAGCUUAUUAGUAAAGGUGGGCUAACUAUUUUCAAAGAAAUCUGUGGCUUAGCGUAAAAUAGUUUAAUGGUUAUUUCUC